rnacentral:rRNA from 1 species
GCGAACGGGUGAGUAACGCGUAGGUAACCUGCCUUGUAGCGGGGGAUAACUAUUGGAAACGAUAGCUAAUACCGCAUAACAAUGGAUGACCCAUGUCAUUUAUUUGAAAGGGGCAAAUGCUCCACUACAAGAUGGACCUGCGUUGUAUUAGCUAGUAGGUGAGGUAACGGCUCACCUAGGCGACGAUACAUAGCCGACCUGAGAGGGUGAUCGGCCACACUGGGACUGAGACACGGCCCAGACUCCUACGGGAGGCAGCAGUAGGGAAUCUUCGGCAAUGGGGGCAACCCUGACCGAGCAACGCCGCGUGAGUGAAGAAGGUUUUCGGAUCGUAAAGCUCUGUUGUAAGUCAAGAACGAGUGUGAGAGUGGAAAGUUCACACUGUGACGGUAGCUUACCAGAAAGGGACGGCUAACUACGUGCCAGCAGCCGCGGUAAUACGUAGGUCCCGAGCGUUGUCCGGAUUUAUUGGGCGUAAAGCGAGCGCAGGCGGUUUGAUAAGUCUGAAGUUAAAGGCUGUGGCUCAACCAUAGUUCGCUUUGGAAACUGUCAAACUUGAGUGCAGAAGGGGAGAGUGGAAUUCCAAGUGUAGCGGUGAAAUGCGUAGAUAUAUGGAGGAACACCGGUGGC